rnacentral:rRNA from 1 species
AACGAACGCUGGCGGCAUGCCUAACACAUGCAAGUCGAACGGGAUCCGGACUUCGGUCCGGUGAGAGUGGCGGACGGGUGAGUAACACGUGGGAACCUGCCUUUUGGUUCGGGAUAACCGCGGGAAACUGCGGCUAAUACCGGAUGCUCCCGAGAGGGAAAAGAUUUAUCGCCAGAAGAGGGGCCCGCGUCCGAUUAGGUAGUUGGUGGGGUAAUGGCCUACCAAGCCGACGAUCGGUAGCUGGUCUGAGAGGAUGAUCAGCCACACUGGGACUGAGAUACGGCCCAGACUCCUACGGGAGGCAGCAGUGGGGAAUAUUGGACAAUGGGGGCGAACCCUGAUCCAGCAAUGCCGCGUGAGUGAUGAAGGCCUUAGGUUGUAAAGCUCUUUUGUCCAGGGAAGGAAUGAUGACUGUACCUGGAGAAUAAGCCCGGCUAACUUCGUGCCAGCAGCCGCGGUAAU